rnacentral:rRNA from 1 species
CGCUCUCAGGUUUUGUAGUGUUGGGGGUCGUGCCUGCCCGGUGGACAUUAGUUCUAAACGGUUGCUGUUGAUAGCAGUACAAAGGUAGCGCAGUCAAUAGUCCUUUAAUUGAGGAACGGAAUGAAUGGCGUGACGUGGGAAAGGCUGUCUCAGGUUUAAUCGUUGAAAUUUACUUUUGCGUGAAAAGGCGCAAAUGCGAGCAUCAGACGAGAAGACCCCAUCGAGCUUGAUGAGGUUUGGCUUUUAUAAGGUGGACUAAAGUUUAGUUGGGGUGACUGGGUGCAAGUUUAACGUACCUGAAUUUUGCUUAAUGGAGACCCUCUAUUGGAGAUAUGGAGAAAAAGCUACCGUGGGGAUAACAGCGUAAUGCUCUUGGAGAGAUCUUAUUGAAGAGAGAUGUUGCGACCUCGAUGUUGAACUAGAGUGUUAUCCUGGCGCAGCCGUUAGGAUUGUGGGACUGUUCGUCCUUUAAAACUCUACA